rnacentral:lncRNA from 1 species
CAGAUUCACAGGAUUUUCCAUGUAUUAUGGAUAUUAACCCCCUGUUUCUGUGAUGUAUUAUUUUCCCCAGUGUUUGGAGUUGCUAUAUAUGGUAAGUUUUUUUUUUUUUUUUCUUAACCAUUUAGUAAAGUGUAAGGUGCAGUGCUCAAGUAUGGAAUCUGUGGAGACUUUAAUUAUCAUUCUAAAGAGAUUAGCAUGGUAUUAGGUUUGGGGAUAUAUAUACAUAUAUGACUUCCCUUGUGGCUCAGAUAGUAAAGCAUCUGCCUGCAGUGCAGGAGACCCGGGUUCAAUUCUGGGUCGAGAGAUCCCCUGGAGAAGGAAAUGGCAACCCACUCCAGUAUUCUUGCCNNNNNNNNNCCAUGGACUGAGAAGACUGGUAGGCUACAGUCCAUGGGGUCACAAAGAGUCAGAUGUGACUGAGUGACUUCACUUCAUUUCACUUCAUGUAUAUAUAUUUCAGGAAAAUUUGUGUGCUAAGUUGCUUCAGUUGUGUCCAGCUUUUUGUGACCCUAUAGACUGCAGCCCGUUAGGCUCCUCUGUGCAUGGGAUCCUCCAGGCGAGAAUACUGGAGUGGGCUGCCAUGCCCUCCUCCGGGGGACCUUCCUGAUGCAGGGGUUGAACCUGUGUCUCUUGUGUCUCCUGCAUUGGCAGGUGGCUUCCUUAGCACUAGUGCCACCUGGGAGGUAUUAAAUGAAACCAAUAUAAAAAUUACAGAAAUACGUAAUGUAUGAGUAUAUGUAUAGGUAAACAUUUAACUUCAUGAUUAAAUUAUAUAUGAAAAAUGUCAUAAACAAAUGUAUAGGCUAAUGGAUUAUUGUAAGGCAGUGUGUUUGCAACCAUCCCUGUAGCCAGGAGAUAGAACCUUGCCAGCUUUCCAGAAGCUGUNNNNNNNNNNNNNNNNNNUAGUUCUAGAAGGUCUUGUAGGUCUUCAUAGAAUUGUUCAACUUCAGCAUCUUCAGCAUUACUGGUUGGGGUGUAGAUUUGGAUUACCAUGAUAUUGAAUGGUUUGCCUUGGAAAUGAACAUAGAUCAUUCUGUUGUUUUUGAGAUUGAGCCCAAGUACUGCAUUUCAGAAUAUUUUGCUGACUAUGAGGGCUACUCCAUUUCUUCUAAGGAAUUCUUGCCCACAGUAG